rnacentral:rRNA from 1 species
CAGCAGCCACGGGAACACGUAGGUGGCGAGCGUUGUCCGGAAUCAUUGGGCGUAAAGGGAGCGCAGGCGGGUAUGUAAGUCUUUCUUAAAAGUUCGGGGCUCAACCCCGUGAUGGGAAAGAAACUACAUGUCUUGAGUACAGGAGAGGAAAGCGGAAUUCCCAGUGUAGCGGUGAAAUGCGUAGAUAUUGGGAGGAACACCAGUGGCGAAGGCGGCUUUCUGGACUGUAACUGACGCUGAGGCUCGAAAGCCAGGGGAGCGAACGGGAUUAGAUACCCGCGUAGUCCCUGUCUCUUAUACA